CUUUUGGGUUUCAUCUCCAUAAGAGUGGCUGAGUUUUUACGUUGGCUCGCCAAGCCUAUCACAACCCUCCUCCUUUACCCGGGCUUGGGACCGGCUAUGUUGGCCAUUGAGAGGGAGGCCGAAGCAAACUCCGUCAGGUUUCAGGUGCACGCCCUUUGUCCCUGUUUUCGUCUCUGUAGCUAAACUUGAGAAUUGUACACUUUGGUAUAUAAAGUUAGUUGUUGAGUUUACAUGCAGUUAUGAAAGUUAGAGCACAUACAUGCUUGAUUUUACUUCCUUUAAUACAGGGCAUUCUAUAAUUACUAAGAACUGAUUUGUUGAAGUGUGCCUCCCUAUUUUGUCAAGAUAACUACUUCAGGUUAGGCGGGAGAAAUAAAAAGGGUGACCAUAGAUAUAUGGUCUAGCAUCACGAGGUUCAGGUAACUGCUGUUGAUCAACCGUUGCUUCGGUCGAGUUAGAGAUUAAAGAAGACUGAAAUUAUGGGCUCGCAGCGAGGAUUGCUGUGUCCAACCUGCACAAUAAUGCCAAGAAGUCCUCCGAGACGAUUAAGGACAUGUACCUGCACUACACUGAGAGAUCUGGGCUGCUUCUUUGUGGCUUCCAAACUUGAAAUGUUUGUUUGGAAGUUAGUUUAGUUUUUUGUUGUGAAUUCACAGCUUCUCACAUUGUACCAUUCUCUUAGACCUUUAGAUUUUCAAAGAAACUAAAUGAAGAUAUGGUGGUAUGGUCUCAAUAGUACAACUUACAGCUCUCCAUGUUUUAUAUUUUCUCUGAAAUUCGCUCUUGAAGAAUCAUGUAUCUAUGUUAGAUCUGAUGAGGAAAGGCGGCUUCCAAGCAGAGGAUGUGGGAGUAUUUGCCACAUUUGGUUUUUAACUUGGGUGUCUAAAUAUUCUCA